UUUAGAGGUAUCUCCCUGAAGUGAUGCAUAACUGAUCAGGGUCUAGUCAUACCAACUUUGGUAAAGUUACAUUGCUCGUCUGGGUAAGGAGAGUUUUUA
rnacentral:pre_miRNA from 13 species